AGCCCCGUCGUAUAGUGGCCAAGUAUCCCGGGCUUUGAACCCGGUGACCAGAGUUCGAAUCUCUGCGGGGCUA
rnacentral:tRNA from 1 species